UACAGAGGGGGCAAGCGUUAUUCGGAAUUAUUGGGCGUAAAGGGCGCGUAGGCGGCUUUUCAAGUGACGGGUGAAAUCCCCUCGGCUUAACCGAGGAACUGCCUGUCAGACUGGAAGGCUUGAGACCGGGAGAGGUGAGUGGGAAUUCCCAGUGUAGCGGUGAAAAUGCGUAGAUAUUCGCAAGAACACCAGUGGCGAAGGCGGCUCACUGGCCCGGUACUGACGCUGAGGUGCGAAAGCGUGGGGAGCAAACAGG
rnacentral:rRNA from 1 species